rnacentral:tRNA from 1 species
UGGGGUAUCGCCAAGUGGCAAGGCAUCGGAUUUUGAUUCCGACAUUCCUAGGUUCAAAUCCUAGUACCCCAGCUA